UACGUAGGGUGCAAGCGUUGUCCGGAAUUAUUGGGCGUAAAGAGCUCGUAGGCGGUUUGUCGCGUCUGCUGUGAAAACCCGAGGCUCAACCUCGGGCCUGCAGUGGGUACGGGCAGACUAGAGUGCGGUAGGGGAGAUUGGAAUUCCUGGUGUAGCGGUGGAAUGCGCAGAUAUCAGGAGGAACACCAAUGGCGAAGGCAGAUCUCUGGGCCGUAACUGACGCUGAGGAGCGAAAGACAUGGGGAGCGAACAGG
rnacentral:rRNA from 1 species